GCAGAGGUUUCCGAGCAUGGUCAAAGGAGCAGGGCUUAGGACCCUGUAGCGUAGGCUUUCGUGGGUUCGAAUCCCACCCUCCGCA
rnacentral:tRNA from 1 species